AUGUGGGGUGUGUUUGUGUGUGUGACAGAGAGAAAGACACACAGAGACAGAGACAGAAUUAGCCAACCUGAAACACUAUCCUAUAGGAAAUGGAAUUCUAAGGCUGAGCAUAUAUUACACACCCUCUACUCAGUGUAUAUCCCUAUAAGUUCCUGCAAUUCUCUCCAGCAUGGCCAGAAAAUGAUUGCCCCUUCAUGGCCUGCCAAAUGUAGAGUCUUCAGCAUGGGAGAAUGCACCAAUUUCAGCUCUCUGCUGGUCCAGAGAAAAAUGUUUUGUGCCUCUCAUUCCACGUGCAUCAAGAAUCAAAUGCCCCAGCGGAGCCUUGACACCUUCUCAUGAGAGCAGCUUUGCUUACAAAAAGCCAAGAGGCCUGCUGAGGAACCUGAUCUACUUAACAGCUCGAAGGGGCAAGUGACGCAUCAGUCCUGAAGUCAUCCUCAUUUGGACAGCAGCCUGCUCUGUUAUUUGGGAGUCACUCUGCAGGGACAGGGAACAGGGACAGCUAAUAUUUCCUGAGCACUGGCGAUGCAUGAGGGGUUGUGCCAGAUGCACCAUGAACUUCCCUCACCGACUCCCCCAACACCCUCAGGCAUCUGGUAUGACUGUCAUUUCCAUGUUACAGGUGAGGCAUUUGAGACUGAGGCUGGUUCUAUGAUGCACGUCGCCCGGCUCCAUGCAGCCAAUCUGUGCAGGAGCUGGGAUCUUGACUCUACAGGCUGGGCUUUUAACCAACUUACUAUCAACAGCAUUUCUUCGUUUUUCUGUGGAUGAUGUUUGCUGUGGGCUGUUUAAUGACAUUGUCAGUGAAGUAUCACAACUGAUGAGAAGGAUGCAGGUGGUUUUCGUGUUCAGUCUGCACGUGCCUUGUAACCUGUUCACUGGGGCUUCUGCUCCCUCUUGCAUUUCAUCACAUUUCUGUCUUGAAACCAACGGGUUCUCUUCGCAUAUGUGAUAAGAAACCUGGAGCAAAGAAAGGGAACCACCAUAGGCCGACAUCCAGAAAACCAAAAACUCCCUAAAGACUGAUCAUCAGUGUUU
rnacentral:lncRNA from 12 species